UGUUAUGGCGGCUGUGCGCGGGAGACCUUCGGGUCUGCCGGGUUCCUAUUGUCCCGGUUUUCCAGCCUGCGCAUAGCUGCCACCCAU
rfam:Pseudomonas fluorescens SBW25 complete genome